GACAAGACAGACAAGACAGACAAGACAGACAAGACAGACAAGACAGACAAGACAGACAAGACAGACAAGACAGACAAGACAGACAAGACAGAGCUUAAGGGACUGAGUUUGGCCAACCAUAAACUAGCUGGCGGUAGUGGGCAAACGUCAAACUCGAACAAAAAUGAUGCCAGCGCCACAGAUGUGUAGUUGACCAACUAUCAAAUUUUCAAAUUGACCAUUAAAUCGGUGAAUGAUAGAAAUUUCUAGAGUUACGUCCGUUUGUCUGUGCCGUAAUUAUUAGUAAUAGUUCUUUACUUAAUCAUUGUUUAUCAUAUUCUUGUGCGCCGUAUUCACGAAGUGGUAACCAGGAUUCAACAGAUUGUGCAAUCAACUUGCACAGUAGAGCUUUGGGGUUCAUUGUCGAUAACAGUGUAGCAACAUCCGUCUUCGGUGCAAUGCCGAUAACGGUCGGAGACAUUCCCUAUAAAAUAGCUGAGGCUUACUCAAGGUGUCACCAUAAAUUGACCGUCUCACAUUGGAGUAAAUCACAUCAAAAUCUGAUCAUAAGUGGAAAAACUCAAAAUGAAGUAAUUGGGUUUUCCGUUGUGUUUUUGCUAAGUGUAGUUAUCGUGUAAUCGUUUGACAGCUAAGCAGUGUUCAAAUGUUUUGUUUACGCUUAUCAGAAGAGGUUAAGUGAAGCUGAAGUUUUGCCGUUUUCUUUGAUAUGACUCACAGCGCGUGCUAGUUUUGACCGUACAAAGUGAAUGAAAUUGAUAGUCAAUCAAUUCAAUGAUGCAGUUUGUUAAAGAAGGUUAAUGUUGUUAUUCUGUUAAUUUGAAACCCGAACAAAUUGGCGUUGAAUUUACAUAUAAUAGAUGAAAAUAUUGAAAAAAAUAUUUGAUGGAAUCCUUUACGUAAAUUCAAAAUGAAAUAAGUUGAUUUUCCGGCUGUUUCCGGAAAAUCUGCUUUUAGUGUAUGAUAAAACUAUUGUUCCUCUUUCAAAUGCAAAAAGAAAACCUCCCGGAUGUUUCCGAUUUCAAAAGUUGCAACACUUUGAAAAAAUCUUGAUAAUUAUAUUAUUAUAUGAUAUUAUUUGCCUUAAAACACUAUUUGGCCCUCUGAACGUAUUUUUGCUGAAAACUAGAAUUCAACAGCUUUCAAGCAAAAAAAGAAGUUUAAAAUCGGUCAACUGGUUCAAAAGUUGUGAUUUUUUGAAAAAAUUUAGUUUUGAAAAAUCUUGACUUUUACAAUCAUAAAAUUGGUCACCCUAAGACGAAAUAAAAAAACCCGAUUUAAUCCACCUAUGGUGAACAGAACCCUUCUUACACUUAUUAAAAAUAUUGUUGUAUUAUGCGUAUUGAGCAAAUUUAUUUUGCGUGAUUGACCAAAAGUUCUAGAAAAUAUUGUGGAUUUGACAUCUAGUGAAUUGGUUCCCAAAAUAGCAUCAGACCAUGGACUUACCAGAAAUGCCAGACACCUCCUAGAAUCUUAUAUGGAAUGUUAAAAAAUAGCUUUCAUAUUCUGGAAUAUUGUAUCUUUUGUUAACUGCCAAAUAAUCUUGAAUCGAUUAACAAAUGGAUAAGAAAAUCAGCGAGAUGCACUUUGUCUAAUAUCUCUUAAUCAGUCGAAUAAAUUAGCUCCGAAGUACUUGGUAUUCAUGGUUAUGGUGUAAAAAUGACAAAAAUGACAUAUCUACUAAGUUAAUCAGUUUUGGCAUUAACUAGUUAUUUUGGCGGUCCGGUUCUUGCAUUUUUCCCACAAUAUAUAAAUUCAAAGCUUUCAUUUAACAUAUUGUUAGUUUUCAUAAAAUUCCUGUGUAUUUGUAAUUUGUUAAUUAUAAUUUUGUUGAAAACAAUAACCUGCUAGAAUACACUUUGUAUGAGAUCAGCAUUAUUUAUUGAAAAAUAACUUCCCAUAGACUGGUGAAAAACUAAUGCAAGAUAACAAGUGAAUAUAAUAAUAAAAAUAAAAAAAAGAAUUUAUUGAAAUACUCUUCGUAAGAUAUCUCACUAAUCAAAUGUCGAAUCGAAAUAAAAUUUCAGGGCCUUAUACAAGGAUGUUGUAGCUUUCAUUUGGUGCUUAGAGAACCAAAAUCGGUUGACAGAUGCCUGAGAUAUUUAUUAUGGUACCCUUGGUUCAAAAUCUUUCAAAAAGUUAACCUGUACUACUCCCAAGUACUCUUUGAAAGAUAUCUCGGUAAUCAAAUGUCCAAUCCUAAUGAAAUUGUAUAGGGUUCUACUAGAAUGUUGUAGCUUUCAUUUGGUGCCAGGGUAACCGAAAUCGGUUGACAGACGGCUAAGAUAUUUAUUAUCAUACAAUUGGUCAAAAAUCUCAAAAAGUUUAGUUGUAUAAAUCCUAAGUACCCUUCGAAAGAUAUCUCUGUAACCAAAUGUCCAAUCGAAAUAAAAUUUUUGGGUGAUCUACUAGGAUGCUGUAGCUUUCAUUUGGUGCCAAGAGAACUUAAAUCGAUUGACAAACGGCCAAAAUAUUUAUUAUGAUACACUUGGUGAAAAAUCUUAAAAAGUUUAGAAGUAUGACUCAUAAGUACUCUUCGAGAGAUAUCUCGGUAACCAAACGUCCAAUCGAAAAAAAAAAUCAAUAGCGUUCUACUAGGAUGUAGUAGCUUUCAUUUACUUCCAAGAGAACUCAAAUCGGUUGACAGACGGCUGAGAAACGUGCGUGACUUUUUUUUGUAACGCACAUACACACACACACACAUACACACAUACACACAUACACACACACAUACAUACAGACAUUUGCUCAGUUCGUCGAGCUGAGUUCAUUGGUAUAUGAGACUCGGCCCUCCGGGCCUCGGAUCGAAAGUCGGUUUUUCGAGCGAUAUUUAUACCCUUCUUAUGGGUGUAAGAAGGGUAAAAAUACGAAAACUAUGAAACACGUUUCAUUACUAAUUUGGGUUGCAUUUGGGUUGCGAAAAUGCAUCAAAAUAAUUUUGAUCAGUUUUGAUGUACUAGGUGCUCCACUGUGCGUCUGCUCUACCGUCAGCAUGUUGUUCCUCGUAGUUUUCGGCGGACUCCUCCUCGCCCAGGGCGCUUGGUCUCAGGAUUCUCCGUUGCAGUGCCUCGGCGUCGGCUGCAAUUACCAGGAUCUCAAUGAACGGUUCUGCCACGUCAACUCGGCUCGCUUUUGCCAGUGUGGUUUAGACGAAAACGGUGAUUGGUUCCUCAAGGUUAUAGCUUGCCCGUACCCGGAUACCUUGUUCAGUCGAAGCCAGCAGCUCUGCGUCCACUCGUCAUUGUGGAAUCCGCACGAGUGUGCGAUACAGAUUAUGCCACCACCAACCCCCCCUCCACAACUUGACUGACUGAUGAGUUAGUAUCGCGUAUCUACUUGCAAAUCGUAGAUGUCGCUACUGUACGUAAACAACGGGUCUAUCCUUCACUGACGCAACGACUUUUGUCCAUGCGAAAACACCUUUUUGUUUCGCGGUAAGUGGAAGCCAACAAGAGGUUAGCGUUUCGUAUCAAAAGGACAUAUUCAACAGAAGCGCAAAAACUAAUGUUCAUUAAAAUUUAAUCAAUUUGAUUUUUGUUGUUGCGGUAAGAAAUAUAAUAAAAGUACUUUCCAGAUUCUGCCUUGCAUAGAGGAACUGAAUUAAGUGUUGAAU